rnacentral:rRNA from 1 species
AUUGAACGCUGGCGGCAGGCCUAAAACAUGCAAGUCGAACGAGUGGCGGACGGGUGAUGAAUGUCUGGGAAACUGCCCGAUGGAGGGGGAUAACUACUGGAAAAGGUAGCUAAUACUGCAUACCAUCGGAUGUGCACAGAUGGGUGUAGCUUGUAGGUGAGGUAACGGCUCACCUAGGCGACGAGCCCUAGCUUGUCGGAGAGGAGGACCAGGCGCACUGGAAAUGUGAGACGGUCCCUAAUCAUACUGUGGUGAUCAGUGGGGAAUAUUGAACCAUGUGCGGAAGCCGUAUGCAGCCAGGAGGCUUGUAGGAAGAAGGCUGUAGAGUUGUAAAGUACUUUCAGCGGGGAGGCCUUACCAGCAGAAUAAGCACCGGCUAAGUCCGUGCCAGCAGCCGCGGUAAUAC